GUGCUUACUUUGUCAGCACACAUACUAAAAUUGAUAUGAUAGAAUAAUAGAAUGGCUCCUUUGCAAAGAUGAUACAUAAAAUCAUGAAAUAUUCUAUAUUUUC
ensembl:snRNA U6 U6 spliceosomal RNA